rnacentral:sRNA from 1 species
GAGAUUAGCGGGAGCACUAUUUCGACCUC